AGCCGUAUGCCGCUGGAGGUGAGCUGAAACCGGUGCUGGCGGCAACUUGGGGUUAAAACGUUCAAAGGACACUAAAAGCAUUUAAACAAUUUUAACUAAAUGAAGCAGUUCUGGUGUAUAAAUCUGAAAUAUAUUGUACUCUAGUUAUUUUAAAAUCUUAAUUGUGAAUUAGACUUCUAAUGUGUUUAAGGGGUUAAAAUGAAAUGUAUGGUUGGUUAAAAAGUAAGCAUCCAGAGUAUAACCACUUAUUUUAAUUUUUCCCCCCCAUCCUUCUACUUUUUCAUCUUCAGAAAGCAUGACCACUGUCUGGAGAUAAUGAAUGAGAACUUACUGCAAUGAAGUUUGGGAAGAGUCAUUAAUUAUCUGCUUAAUGGAAAGGUCUGUUCGUGGCCUCAGUAUAUUGUCUGUGAAGAUAUGAAGAUCAUGUUACUUAGUAGGCUGGAGACAUCUGUACUACAGCUUUUAAUGACUUCCAUAAGCGAUUGGCCACCAUGAUGUCACUGUAAGUUUGGGACAAUUUUAUUGUGUGCAACAGAAAUACCAGUCGGUGGUGCCACAGGUUUCGAUUUUUUUUUUUAGCACGUUUUGUUUUA